GGUGCUGAUUCCAUAGUGUCCUGCUGUGAAAUCCAGCAGUACUAUUAUUCUUUGUUCAGAGUGGUUUCAGUCUGUUUUGUAUUGUUCAAUUUCAACAUACAUGACGGUAUGGACAGCUAUUUUGAAGAGAAUGAGAGACAGUAUGGCAGCCAUUGUUGGUUUCCCUAUUAUCUGGUUUUGAAGGCCUAAAAUGCCUUCAUCAUCCUGUUCUGAUCAGUUUAAUACUAUUUUGUUUUGUAUGAGUUCAUUGUGUGUGAAGAUAUGGACAACUAUUCAGAAGAAAACAAGAGACAGUAAGAUAGACAUUGAUGAUCUCCUGUUGUCUUGCUUUAAAAUCUGUGUGUCUUACAUUGUGUUCUUCUGAUCUGCUUUGUUCUGUUUUGUUCUGUUCAAUUUUAUCUUCUUUGAAAUAAAAUUUUAAAAAUGUAAAAUCUAUUUUAAAAAAUAAAAUUUCUGGGUUGUAUAUUUUAUCACUACUACCACAACAAAAAAAUAACAGGGCUAGAGAAUGAUGUGCCAUGUGACUGCUAAUGUGAAGUAAACUAGAACAACUGCAUUUUAAUUUCAGAUAAAAUUAACUUCAGAAAAAGGAAAAUUAAAACUGACAAAGGGGACAUUAAGUGAAAUUAAAGUACUAGUUUGAUUACGUGUUUGAGAUAUGCAGUAACACAAAUUAAGAAACCUCACAGUUAAAGAACUUCUGCCUUAUUAUUCACAGCGGUAGGUAAUAUACCAAAAACGUCACUGUAUCCAGUGAAAUUGCAUGUAGUAGUUAACGGUUGCAGCUUCAUGUUUUUGAACUUUUAUUCCUAAAUAUUUCACCUUGUUUUUCAUUUUAUUGUAGGAUCUCACAGAUGUGUUACAAGAUCCAGAAAUAGUACUUAGAGGAUACUGGCAGCCUCAGUAGGCCACAGUGAUAAAAACAAGAUUCAGGCUCUCUGCAAUUAUGAUGAAUGAUACAUUGCUCUUCUUUUUCGACAUACUUUUAUAAGCUUCCUGCAUUUGUGUUGGCUGCUGUGAAAGGAAGUAUUUUUGCCCCUCACAGAGUUCAUAUGAUUAAAAAUCUGUAAUACAUCUUUCUUAGUAAUAGUAUUACUAAAAUAUGAAUGUGGCUAGAGGGGCACAUGUAAUCAUCAUCAGAACAUUAUCCUAAAAAUACUUAAUUUGGAAUUUAGCUAGAAUACAAUAGGUUUGCAUUUCAUGUUGUAUUAUUUGAUUGGCACUUGAAUGUAUUUAAUGUUCUUUCUGUUUUCUCUAGGGAUAAGUAGUUUUAAAGAUCAUUGCAUUUUUUUCCCAGAAAAGUAUCCAAAUUCAUAUGUGGCUUAACACAUCUGAACCUUACACUGUUCAAGGGAAGUGAACAUGUGUUCUAUGAGUAAUCCCCUAGUCUAUCUACUCAUACUAGACUUGAGGACACAGACAGCUAUCCCAAAACAAUAGGAUAUACUACGGUGAUGGAUGCGGACACACUGUACGAGGCCCUGAAAGUGGAACUCUUGCAUCUAUAAACUACCCGCAGACCUAUCCCAGCAGUACCCUUUGCAAAUGGGAGAUCCGUGUCAAGAUGGGAGAACGAAUUCGGGUCAAAUUGGGUGAUGUUGACAUUGAAGAUUAUGAUUCUUGUCAUUUUAAUUACUUGAGAAUUUAUAAUGGAAUUGGACUUGGCAGAACAGAAAUAGUGCAACAAUGAAUGCUCAACAAGAAUGUGUGGCUGUCUUUUACAAAGCUGAAGUCUACUCGGAAUUCACUGAUUAUUUUUAUAGGGGGAAAAGUGAUUCUCUGUAAUCUGCAUGAACUUAAUGCAUUUGAUAUUCCCCAAAGAGGAAUUAAAUCACAAGGAUCAUCUAAUCUAAACAGUACUGUUUCUUUUGCCACUUUAGGUUUUUAGUGAUUUUAUAAAUGUCUGGAAUCCCAGCAUGUGGGGUGCUGAAGCAGUAGAAUCACCAUGAGUUCAAGGCCAGACUGCAUUACCUAAGUUAAUGCACUGAAGAUACUUACAAUUACCUGACAGAACUCUGUGGUGUCCGUUUCCCUGUCACUGAUAAACUGCUGAUGAUCAUUCAUAUUAGACCAGUUGGCAGCCCGAUACUCUGAUAACUUUACUGUCUUUCAUCUGACACUUUUAUAAUGUUUAUUGUUUUGACUAUUAAAAGGAAUCUUCAAACGAAGUGUCAUUUUAUUAUUUCUGAUUUUUUUAACCUGAGCACUGAGUGCUUGGUGUCAUCAAAAGCUUACAGGAAUUCCUGUUUCAAAAUUCCCCUCGCAAGGAUCUCACUCAUCAGCUUCCAGCUGGGCUGGUAGACUUGAGCAACAUCUUACAGUAUCUCUAUCUUUAAAAAAAAAAAAAAAAAAAAAAAAAAAAUAUAUAUAUAUAUAUAUAUAUAUAUGUGUGUGUGUGUGUGUGUGUGUGUGUGUGUAUGUAUGUAUGUAUAUCUUUCUCUUGAAAUUCAACAACCUCAGGAGUAAAGCGAACAAGUAUGUAUUUCACUUUUUAAAGGGAUAAACCAUCUCCAAAUUUUGCCUGCUUUUUGGUUUCUGCAGUGACAUUAAAAAUUUUUGUGUGGGCAUGUGGGUAUAUAUGUGUCUGUGUGAACAUACAAUUUUGGCAUUUAUAAUUCUCCUGUAGUGUUAGUUCAUUGUAAGAUAUGUCAUUAUUACCUGAAUUGCAUCUCCUAGGAUUAGUCUUUAAUCCUCUCUAUAAAAUAUCAUGCUCCUUUAGGUUGGAAGUAACACAGUAUACAGCUAUUUGUUGAUAACUUAAGGUUAUAUUACAGGGUUUCCACAGUUUAUAAGUAUCUAAAUAAUUGAAAUAUGUUAUAUGUUAUUUUUCAUAAAAAACAAGUGAACAAAUGAAAUUUAUUGAAUUUCAGUCACUGUAAAAAUUAUGUUUUGUGCAAUAAAUCCCUUAAAACAUAGUUAUAAAAGGAAAUUCUCUAGCAAAAUGUGAAAAUUAGCUAAUUAUAAAAUGAAUUCUUCUAAUAAAUAAAUUAUAUAUGCUCCAAUAUCCUUUAUAUAUUAGACACAUGCAUUAACUUAGUUACAUUUCAUAUAUGUAUGUAGUUUGCAGUUAGUUAUCUUAAAAUGAAUGGACUUAGUGUUUCAAGUUAGACUGCAAAACAGCAAAUACAUAAACAUUGAUCAACCAUAAUAAAGAAUAUAUCAUCAAGAAUAACUGUAAGCUAAAUAUAAACCAAAUAACAAACUCCAUCUUUUCCUGCAUGAAAAACUUAUUGAUAAGAAAGGAAAAGAUGCAUUUGCUAAAAGUUUGUGUUAUAAGCUCACAGAAAGAAUUUUCAGACAUUUGCACACUGGUAUGUAACAAAAAUGCAUUUCCUGGCAAGAGUUGCACACAGUUUAUAUAAUCUUUAAAGUUAACUUUAAGAUAACCACUAUGUCAAAUCUGGUGCCACGGUAUAUUUUAUUUGAUAGUACCACUUUUCGUCCUUCUCAACUUAUACCCUAAACUCACAGUCCAAUUUUUGUAGGUUUCUAGAGUUAAAAACUAAUUCAAUACUAAUAGAAUUUUAAUGAAGAAUGAUUAAAUGGUUACUUUUGUGUUUGCUGUUUGCGAUUACACUCAUUAUCAGUAUUACUUUGCUUAUACAAUAAGGCAGAAAGAAAACACUUAAGAUUUUACUCAUUACACAUCAAUUUCCUAUGUAUUUGAUUUUUAUGCAGAAAUUUCUGACUAUUGACUACAGUAAUGAAAUUGAUAAGUGAAUUCAGCAAUUUUCAAGUAUAAAAUCAAUAUACUUCAUGAAAACUAUCUGCAAAUGUUUAGAAAAUAAAUUGGAAAAUUAUUAUAGUUAAUCUAAGUAUCACUUAGAAUAACCAAAAUGCAAUUUGUAGUGAGUUUAAUAAUAAAAGUACUACAAGUCCUUUAGAAUGUGUAGUAGUUCUCUUUGUGUGACUUAAUCUUCCAUUAUUACAAAAAAAAACAUAAUUACAAAAAAAAACAUAAUUACAAAAGAAAAGCUUUGUGCUGGUUAAAUUUGAGAGAUUCCGGUCUCUGGGACUGUUGACUUGCAGUGACACAGUAUACGCAGUGAAGCAAAACUUCUAACUUCAUGGCUAGGAAACAAUAGAAGGAAGGGAAUGCACUGAAUUUCAUGAUCCUCUGCAGAGAUUUGGUUUUAAUGACCUAAGUACCUCCAACCAAGUUCCACCUAUCAGAGGUUUCACUCUCUUCUACCAAGCCUUCAACUCAAUUUUUAAUUUUAAAAAAAUUAAGAUAAAAGAGAACAUAACAAAAUAGGUCAGAACAGAACAAUUUAAGCAACAUAGUGUUUCACCACAAGACAACUCGACAUAAUAGUAGCUACCAUAGUGUCUCUUGAAAUAUUUGAAUAUACCUUCAUACACUAUGGUAUCAAACCUAACAAAGUAGUAUAAAAUCAUUCAAGAGAAUGAAAGUGUUACAGGGUAUUCAGAACCAACAAACAGAAAACAAACAAGGAUUACUAUAUUAUCUCCUUGUCCAUAAAAUUUUUGUUUAUACUAUCACACCUAACAAAAUCCAAUGAGAUACAACAUGAUAAAACCGAUGGGAGACAGAAGAACAAAAGCAUGGUAGGAUGAUACUAAAUCAGCACUAGCUAUGAUAAUGUCUUGUUUUCAUCAAAAUAGCUGUUCAUACUAUCACAGACAAUAAAGUCAAACAACCAGAAUAAAACCAUAAUGAAUGAAAACAUAAGGCUUCAAAGCAAUAUAGUGGGGAAUCAUGAUUACCAUACACUUUGAUGUAUUCUUACCAUUUCUUACACUAAGACGACUACGGUAUUUAUACAGGUCAGUUUGAUUCCUUUUGCUUGUGAGUAUGGUCUCAAACUUAAGACCAAGCCUUCAACACUUAAGCACUGAAGAUCAAAACGGUAGCACCUCUUGUUUCUGUUUUUGCUUUCCACACUUUGUUAGCUACAGGCUUUGUGUCUGUAAUCUGUGGAAUUAUCCAAAAAUAAAUCAUUUGUAAGGGUUAAAUUUUAUACCCUUUACAGUACUACAAUGAAAUCUAAUUCCAUUCCUCUCUAUUCUGCUUCGAACAUUAAUUGUUACUUUCUCAAUCAUUUCCACAAUGUACAUGCUAAAUCGGUAACAGCAGAAAUCUUGGUUUUCAAAUUAUCACGGCAUUGCAUUCUUGUGGUCCAAUGACUUUUUUCUUAACUCUGCAAAAGUGCAAAGCACAGUAUUAGUUAUGUUGGCAAUUUGGAUAAGCCUGAAAGAAGACGUAGUGUUUUCUUUAAGGAAAAAGGUGAAAGUUUUUGACUGAAUAAGUUCUUUCCUUAGAGAAAGCAAAAUAACUUUGCAUUGAGAUUGCUAAAAUCCGUAGUAAAUGAGAAAUUGUUAAUUUCUCAAUGUGCUUAUAGUUUAAACUUAAACUUACAGGGGCUGGGGAUUUAGCUCAGCGGCAUAAGCGCCUGCCUUGCAAGCAGGCAGUCAUGAGUUCGAUCCCUGGUACCGAUAAAAAGGAAAAAGACCAAAAAAAAAAAAAAAAAAAAAACUUAAACUUACUACAGAUAUGCUCACAGAAUAAAGCACUCUAUACAGGUUCUAGGAUUUUCCAUAGUUUCAAACAUACAUAAGGGACCUUGCAAUGUAUUUCUAUGGGUAAAGGCACUAGUGUACAAUACAAUGUAUAUCUAAUUUUUAAUACGGGUAUUUUCUGUAUUCAAAACUAUCAUAUACAGAACCUUGAUUAUUUCAUCUAGACAUGAAUUAAAUCAUAGUUUCAUUCUAAAUAAAAGGAAAUUUUGGAUAUACUACACAGAUAGUUUCUAAAUAUGGAUUUUAAUGUCAGUGUCUAGAGACAGCAGGAUAAGACAAAAUUGAAAGACAUUUUUAAAAAUUUACCUAGUUUUUCUGUAAAGGUAAUAUGAUCAAUAGAAUAUUGGUACUGGUAUAAAGCUAAUAUAUCAACAGGAAAUGUUAAAAUAAUGCAAAAUUAGUUCUAUACCAAAUUGUUUCUUUGCAUUUUUAUGUAUGUAUUUAAUUGAUGCCAUCUUCCCAAUUUAAGUCAUUUAAGGUAAUCUUUUAAAUAACUGAAAUUAAGAAAUGUUUUUUUUGCAGAAAAAUGAAAGGAUACCUUUCUAAUUCUGCGCAUUACAAAUAAUUUAAAAUAUAAAUAAAUGUAAAAGUAAUACAAAUAUUUUAUAAUAAAAAACGAUGAUUUUAGUUUUGUGGUAUCUAAUAAGCAAUAAUCAUUUUAAAAAUAAAUUCAAAUCAUCCAUAUAAAAUGUAUUUGUCAUUUAAAAUACAUACCUAAUAAACUAUGAAAAUAAUAGACUAAAUAUAUUUGCAAGUUUUAUAACCAUUGAAGAUGUUUUUCUUAAAAUAUAACAUACUCCUUCAAAACUACAGAAAAAAACUAAUAUAAAUCAGCAUAAUUAGGACCAUGUACAGAAAAUGUGCAUAAAAUAUGCUCAGUAUUGUCAGUCAUAAAGGAAAUACAGACAUAAAAAUGUGCUCAAUAUUAUUAAGCAUAAAGGAACUGCAAAUUAGACUCCCAAACAGAUCCAUUCACAUGCACUAUAACAGUUACAACCCAAUGUAAUUAUGUCCCUGUGAUAUGUUGGCAAGAACUGACACAGUUGUAAACCCCUGUAUAUUAUAGGUGGGAGAAUCAUUAGAGGAAUACAUAGUCCAAACUUCUUUUAAUUAAAGUUUACUUUACAUCUGGCUAAUAAUCCUGUAAUUACAGUUCCGAAUAUUAACCGUUUCAGUUGCUCAUUAUGAAAUGCAAGUGUGUGAUGGAAGGAGUCUUUCACGAUUUGCUGUCAGGUUUCCCACCACUGCAGACACUGUAACACAAACAUUAUUGCUUAUGAAUUUGCUCAUAAAGCUAAAAGCACAUGAAAAGCACAACAAAGGUGUUAUAAAACUAGUUUUCAAAGAAUGAAUAUUUUGAUAUGUAUUUUAAUGUAUUUAAAUGAUUUUGAUAACUAAAAAUACCAAUAAGAACAGUUCAAUACUAUUCAUUCCUAUGCAUUAAUUGAAUACUUAUCAGCAAGAAUAAGAGGAUGUGACACAGGCCACAGCAAAGAAUGGAUUUGCAGUCAGACAAUUCAGUACACAGUAUGCAAAGAUAAAACACUGAAAUGAGGGAUGAGAUUAUUUCCAUUAGAUUUCUGUGGUCCAGAAAGGUAAGGAGGAUUGGGAGGCAGGCAUGCAAACAGAACCAUAUUUUCAGGAUGUGAAAAGCCUGUGAGAAGAGGAAAAGCAAAGUGGUCUGGUGUGUCUUAUGUACAAAGCAGAGGCCCAGCUGCGUGUAACUGGAAGGAAACAGUUUAAACUCUAUUUUAUUUUCUGUUUUAUCUGAACAUUUCUUCAUCAUGUUUCAUUCACUUUGUGAAAUUUAUUUUAGAUGAUACAAUAAGACGUAAGAUUGUACAUUCUAAUGGAGUUUCAUGUAGUAUUUUGGUAGCAGGUUUCCAAACAGCAGCAGGAAGCAGUAGUAGGAGAGUUUUGGCCAAAAUAACUUCAUCCAAGGUGACUACAGCAUCUAUAACUUGUCGUCACAGAGCCACUUGCAUUCAUAAGCAGGGUCUACUCAGCAUCCAUCAGAGGGAGUCAGAUUUCAGGCACAAUCUGGUGGGCCAAGCGUGGUGGGCAGACACAUGUCAGGACUGGGUGGUCGACAGUUACUCAGGAUGUCCAGUACAGCAUGAGGCACCUGGACAAUGAGGGCUUGGACUAAGAUGAGCUUGUCAGGUUUCUUAAUCACAAGGACAGCAACUAUUAGAGCAUGAAGAUAAAAAAGGGAGUAGGCAGCCCUGAGUAAGCAUCAUUGUUUAUGUGAACUCAAGGGCCCACAUUUUAUAGGAUGCAGAAGCUCUAAGGAAUUUGUGGAUUUUUUCUUGUAGUCAGUUUGUGCAAGACAUUGUGCAGAGCUUUUCAGUCUUUCCAGCAGGCAGCUUGGAUGUCAUCAGUCAGAAGUGCUGCAAUAUGUUGUGAUGGGAAAUCAACAAGGUCAUCUGUGAGGGUUUCUCAAAAAGAGGACACAUAAUUUUUUGAUGCCUGGCUGGGUCUUUCCAUCUUAAAACAAACAUGAACUGGCUGACAGGAGCAAAUCAAAGGCAGGAGAUAUUCUUUAGGUCCUGACAGCUAUACUAGCAGACAGCGGGUGGCAGAAGUCUGAGGCAGUGCAUAUGGAGGCCAACUGCUGCAGCAUUGUUAGCUCAGAGAUUCCGACCUGGCCUUACACGCAGGAGAGGCCUAUUUUAGCAGUAUGACAGUCUACAGUGUUUGCUCAGGAGACCAUAACAGAGCUGAAAGAAACAGAGAAAUAGGCUGUCUCAGAGAAAAGGUGUUGGUGGCUUGCCCAAAUAUGUCCUCGGCUCCCCCCCCACGCCCAAGUAAUGGGAGAGUCCUUAAUUCCAUAGGACAACUGAGUCCAAGUGAGCUAGAGCAGUGCAAGGAAAGUGUAUGGGUUGGGAAGCACAGAGUGCAAAGUGAUGGCUGUACUAUUGAUGGCACAGCAGUUAUUUUUCUCAUGCACACAUUGUGUUCCUCUCAGGGGUCAAGUGACGGGGAGGCUGAAUGACUUGGUGUAAAAGUGAUGGUCCCUGGGGCUGGGGAUUUAGCUCAGCGGCAUAAGCGCCUGCCUUGCAAGUAGGCAGUCGUGAGUUCGAUCCCUGGUACCGAUAAAAAACGAAAAAGACCAAAAAAAAAAAAAAAAAAGUGAUGGUCCCUUCUAAUUUGAAGAGCAAGCCUCUUCUCAGAUAGGAACUGAUGUUGGUGAGGUGUCCUUCCAGGCUGUAAGUUAGUGCCUGAAAUAAAGAGUGAGAGAUAAGAGUCCCAGCUGCCCCAAAUGGUAACUUUUGACAGAGGGAACUUUGGAGGGUAAGAGGGUUCUGUUCCAUUGUCUAUCAGGAGGCACAGGUUUGCCCCAACUUCUACAGUGACUGCAGGUUCUCAGGGGCCCAAUUUGAUAGAGCUCAAUAUUUGUCCUCUUUAUCCAGCCCCAACAUGGAGAAAAGAGUUUCAGGCUGAGGGGGCCUGGAUAGUCAGGUUUCUUUACGUCUUGCAUAUGGAACGAACAUUUUUCUGGUGUCAAUAGCCUGAAGCCAGAGGGUAUGACUGUCUAUCAGGCUGAAUUUUCUUAUGGACAUCAUAUGCUUUAAUCAGGUUUUUGGGUGAUGGCAGGUGAUUAGCAUUUGUGUCCCUUUUUGAUGUCUGAGAUGUUCUUGAUUGGGCUAUUUCUAAGGAAAAGUGACCUUUGGGAAAUGUCAUGGUAACUCAUUCAUCAGGGCUGACAGCCCUAUAUUUCUUGGUCAAAAUGUAGAACUCAGAAGGAAUUGCAGCAGCUGUUGUGGGUAAGCAUUAAAUGAUGCUAUCUGAUCAGUGUAGGAAACAGAAGGCUCUGGAGAGAGGACCUCUGUGGCUGAGUGUGGGCAGCGGCUGACUGGAACUGGUGCAGGGCUGGAAGGAGGGGUGAAACACCUGACAUUUGCAAUUUGAAGAGCAGAACACUUACUCUUUUGGUUCAUGCUGACUGGCUCUGAGACAAAGGCCUGCUGGUGGAAGGACCGGGAAGAAAAGGCUUCUCAUGUCAUGGUAACCAAAAGGGAGAGAAUGCAAAGAAAAGCCAGAGAAUGAUGGUACUUUUCAGUUUAUGCCCACAUAAUCCUGCUCCUAGCCAGGUUACACUUCUAACAGUACAUGCAGUAGCUAAACUCAUUAGAGGGUAAAUUCAGUGAUGAACAUACUCACUCCACGGUCUACUCACCUUCACUACCCCACCUGAGAUUUAGGGGGGAUGUUUUAAGUAAAUCUUACAAUUCUGUUCUGGUCCUGAAAAGAUUUAUCAUCUCUUUGUGUAAAAUGUACUUACCCAAUCACCAAGAUUCACCAAGGUUUUAAAAGUCCAAGAACUACUUUUUGGAAAAGUCCUAGUCUAAAAUUUCCUUUGCGACUGAAGGCAUACUCUUAGCCAUGAGCCACUGUUAAAAAUAUUUAAAAUACUACCAACAUAUAAUGGCACAUCAUAAACCUUCUAUUCUAAAAGACUGAAAUAAGAUACAGAGAGUUAUGUAGACUGGAUCAAAGUGAGAAUGGAGCCCAGCAUAGUGAGCAUUAAAUUCUAUAGCACUGUGUCUAGCACUCAGGGAAAGUUGUGAGAACAUAUGAGAACCCAAGUUUUUGUGAAACCCAGUCCAUGUGAAUUUGCCUGUUGAAGCCCUCGUGGCCUUUAUUGGGGUGGUUCUGCUAACUACCUGCAACUUUUCUGACUAGGUGUUCCUCAGCCUUGGCAUCUUCAGCUUUCUCAAGCCUCCAUUACACUUUUGGCUUCCCCUUUACAGCUUAAUGACUUACUUUCAGGGCCACACUGCUGGACCUACCACAUCUUCUGAAAUCUGGGUAGAGGACACACAGCUCUUACAUUCUUCUUUCCCAUAAAACCAGCACCACGUGGAAGAUGUGGAGGUCUGUGGUCAGAUCUGCCAGUUUCCAGUUUCUCCUGGAUCAUGGUUACAAAGACAUCUGAUGCCUGAACUACAGGAAACGCUUUCCUGGAUAGCACUGAAUGAACUUGGCUCCUCAGGGCUCUAGUUCCAAACCAAAGUCUUUCAUUUUAGGACUUUUAAGUCUUCUGAUGGGUCAAGUAUGCUUAAUUUAUGAAAUGUUCCUCAGAUAAUUUUCCUAUUUUCCUGAUUCAAAGAAUUUGGCUCUUUUUUCAUGCUAAUCUUUUAAACAACUGUACUCUCCUUUCUGCCAACUGUCCCAUGCUAUAUUUCUGAUGAAACUGCAAAUUUUUAAAAUAAUUUAACUCUGUCAUUUUUUUUCUCGUUUUCAUAACAGAUCUUGCUAGAAACAGCAAGCAUCCCUAACUAUAGAUGAACUAUUGGGCCACCUUGAACUUUCCUCAGCCACAUAAAUCCAUCAUACUUAAUCUCAACCUUCUGCAUAGUCUCAUGAUUUAGAUAAAGAUUUCAUUUGAUUUUUUGCCAGAGUAUGACACCCAUGACCAGGAGUCCAACAGCCAAUGGAGUUCGUAUUCCUAACUGGAACUUCCGGAGACUAGCUUUACUGUAUGCAUUCCUAUCACUAUUCUGUUCUUCUAGCUCUGAUCAGAAUUUCCCACCUACCUUGGCAAACAGUAUUCUAGAUUUUUCUGGUCAGAUUUUCAAACUACUCCCAAGAAUGUCUUCCAAACAAGUGGAAGCCAGUAAGUCCAAUACAUUCACAGAAAUUAUCCCACUUUGUGUAUAAAAAUCUAUUUCGAUGACUUUCUUUCUUGCAGGGACAAAAUAUUCAAUACCCAGAACUUUAAGGACAAAACAUUUAUUUAGGCUAAUAUUUUGCUGUCUGCAAGAGAGAAAUGGCAUGAUGGAAAGGCCUGACAGGAAGAAAUCAGCUCAUGUCAUAGUGGUCAGAAUUCACACAGUGAAUAAGGACCAGACAGUGAUAGAUGCCUCCAGGUCAAGGCCCAGGUACCUGCCUCUAGCCAGACUCUAAAGAGCACACUCAACUGCUAAAUUCACAUUGGUGAAUCCCUUGAUGAGUGUAGUGCCCUGAUGAUCCAGGCAACUUUCAAAACACAAAGUUUGAACACAUGAGACUUUCUGGGAAAUUUUAGAUCUAGCAAAACGGUUGAUAUUAUUUUCAAAGUUCAAGUUCCAAUAUCAAUUGGUGGUUCUGUUUUAAUUUUAUUUUAAAGCUCUGUGCAUAAGCUUUCUAUGGAUUCCAAUGCCAUGAAAUUACUAAGAAUUUUUCACACUCAUAACCCCACUCUCCCAGAAUUUAAAGUCUAUUUUCUUUGCCUUUCAACUAUUUGUCAUAUUGUGUCUCGUUUCUUGUAAUAUAUUCGCAUAACAAAAUAACAUUAAUUAUAGGAGCUAGCUGUGUCUUGUUUCAUUCAUUCAUUAAAUCACUUAUGCCACCGGUAUUUAUUGAAAUGUAUUAUUUUUGAUAUAAUAUGGAUUGAUUAUAAAAACAAAGACUAUGGCUAUUUUUGAAAAAUAUAUUCUUUCUAAAAGCGAGGGAAAAACAAACCAAAAGUAACAAUUACGUAUUUGCCAAUUGAGGUAAAUGAUGUUCCAAAUACAAGUAACAUAUUAAGAAAACAGUAGAAAUGUAGUAAUUAAAUUUCUCUGCUAUUGUGAAUAUUACCUUUUUUUUUCAUCUCAAAUAGAAUGCUUAGCAAUUUGGUAUGUUAUAUAUGUGAAUACAGGAAAAUUGGGCCUCCCAAACCUUGCCAAAGUUAACAUUAUAAUAAAAAGCAAAACCUUUUUAUUUCUCAAAUUUGGUAGGAUUAUUAAUGUCCUGAUUCUUAUGCUGAAAUAUUUUGCAACAUAUUUUAAAUUACUGUUUAGCUGUUUCCUUUCACUUGGAAAGAUAUUAGAAUGAAUUUAACUAACUUUCUUUUCUAAGAGUUUCCUAAAUUUUAAGAUAUACUUGAAUUGAGGGAUCUAAUUCUUGAAAAGGGUCUGAACUCCAAAAGAGAAAUUGGUAUCUCACAAAAUUGUAAAGCAUUUUUAAAUCCAGUUAUCUGGCAAAAUGAUUUAGGUAUCUAUAGGCUUGUAGCAUUCAUAUUACCUUGAACAUUGUGCCACCUUUAAUAAGAAUGUUUCAUCAUUCUCUCUAAACUUAAUUCAGCAUCUUGAAAUGAAUAGAGGUAAGUUUCAGUUAAUAUAUAACCCUUCUGCUAAUGAACAUUCAGAUCUCUCAAGGCCUAGGACCAAUUUGACAGUUGUCUGAGUGCUAUAUACUCCAAGAUUCUAUUAAGUGAUAUUGUAAUUUCCCGAAAAGUAAAUGUCAUUUUUGGCAAAUUUUCUGCCAAAGCACAUUCAUUGGCAAUAUGAAUUGAGAAGUUAACUUCCCUAGAGAAAAUUUUUCAUGAACUUUUGGCUAUGUUAUAUGAAAAUAAUCAAUGAAGGUCAUUUUGAAAGUCACAAUAUAGUAUUGUUCAUGUCAGCUUAUUUGAUAACAAGAGAAAAAUUUAAGUGACUCCAGGAAACUGUACUUUUGUUACUCAAUAUACUUUUAUUAAUAUGUAAAUUUUGGAAUGGUUUUAUUUAAUUGGAAAGUAUGAAUUAUUUAAUAGGUGCAACUAAAAUUACUAACCAUACUGAAAUGUAUGUACCUACAUCUAUGACUGAAUUCGCAAAAACUUUGCUAUAACUUACAUGACUAUUUAAAAAGUGUAAAAUUGUAAAUUAAUUUUACCUGAUGAACAAAAAAAUAAAAGUUGUGCAUUGUAAUGC